rnacentral:rRNA from 1 species
UACAGAGGGGGCAAGCGUUAUUCGGAAUUAUUGGGCGUAAAGGGCGCGUAGGCGGCUUUUCAAGUGACGGUUGAAAUCCCUCGGCUUAACCGAGGAACUGCCUGUCAGACUGGAAGGCUUGAGACCGGGAGAGGUGAGUGGAAUUCCCAGUGUAGCGGUGAAAUGCGUAGAUAUUGGGAGGAACACCAGUGGCGAAGGCGGCUCACUGGACCGGAACUGACGCUGAGGCGCGAAAGCGUGGGGAGCAAACAGG